GGGGUCAUAGCUCAGCUGGGAGAGCGCCUCGUUCGCAACGAGGAGGCCGGGGGUUCGAGCCCCCCUGGCUCCACCA
rnacentral:tRNA from 1 species